UACGUAGGUGGCAAGCGAUACUCGGAAUCACUAGGCGUAAAGCGCAGGUAGGCGGUUCGGUAAGUCUUUUGUGAAAGCUCCUGGCUCAACUGGGAGAGGUCAAAGGAAACUACCGGACUAGAGUUUGGUAGGGGAUACUGGAACUCCUGGUGUAGCGGUGAAAUGCGUAGAUAUCAGGAGGAAUACCUAUGGCGAAAGCAGGUAUCUGGGCCACAACUGACGCUGAGCUGCGAAAGCUAGGGGAGCAAACAGG
rnacentral:rRNA from 1 species